rnacentral:lncRNA from 1 species
ACUGCACAAGUUGUACUCCAAAGUUAAUACUCAAAACCUAUUACAAGUUGUACUUCAUCAUCCAAAGAUCUACAAAGCAUACAAAUGAUCAUCAUUGUUUGGAAUCAUCUUCUCGUUAGGAUUAUAGUGGAACUCGCCGCUUGGAUUUAUGACUUGUUUCGGAAGAAAUCCUGCUAUUGGCUCUUGUAUUGCUUGGAGUUGUUCAUGUUGCAUGAGUUUUUGCUUUAACCAUUCAAUCUUCAAUUUGAAUUAAAAGAAGGUAUUAGUUAUAUCAAGAUUAUCAAUAGUAAUUCGAGAGAAAAUGAAAAGAGACAUGUGUUACAUACUCUGAGGUAUUUUUUUUAGGAAUUCUAUUUGUUACUGUCAUAAUAUACUCGCAAACGUAGUAUCCACAUAAGUUGUUUCCCGGUUCUUGUCUC